CAGCAGCCGCGGGAAUACAGAGGGUGCAAGCGUUAAUCGGAAUUACUGGGCGUAAAGCGCGCGUAGGUGGUUCGCCAAGUUGGAUGUGAAAUCCCCGGGCUCAACCUGGGAACUGCAUCCAAAACUGGCGAGCUAGAGUAUGGUAGAGGGUGGUGGAAUUUCCUGUGUAGCGGUGAAAUGCGUAGAUAUAGGAAGGAACAUCAGUGGCGAAGGCGACCACCUGGACUGAUACUGACACUGAGGAGCGAAAGCGUGGGUAGCGAACAGGAUUAGAUACCCCAGUAGUCCCUGUCUCUUAUAC
rnacentral:rRNA from 1 species